rnacentral:rRNA from 1 species
GACGAACGCUGGCGGCGUGCCUAAUACAUGCAAGUAGAACGCUGAAGCUUGGUGCUUGCACCGAGCGGAUGAGUUGCGAACGGGUGAGUAACGCGUAGGUAACCUGCCUGGUAGCGGGGGAUAACUAUUGGAAACGAUAGCUAAUACCGCAUGAUAUUGAUUAUUGCAUGAUAGUCAAUUAAAAGGUGCAAUUGCAUCACUACCAGAUGGACCUGCGUAGUAUUAGCUAGUUGGUGAGGUAACGGCUCACCAAGGCAACGAUACAUAGCCGACCUGAGAGGGUGAUCGGCCACACUGGGACUGAGACACGGCCCAGACUCCUACGGGAGGCAGCAGUAGGGAAUCUUCGGCAAUGGACGGAAGUCUGACCGAGCAACGCCGCGUGAGUGAAGAAGGUUUUCGGAUCGUAAAGCUCUGUUGUAAGAGAAGAACGAGUGUGAGAGUGGAAAGUUCACACUG